UGGUCAGAAAGUGCGUGUCCCAUCGAUGCAAAGAAAUGGUAAUCAGACGGAGCCAAGUCUGGCCGGGAUAGGUUCUGCUACGGGUGUAGAACACGUCGCUGCUGGGCUACUGUGCUGUUUUCCUUCUCAUUUUUGUAUCGUGGAAGAAAAAUCGGACUGCGACGUAACCUAAGGUUCGUAACCUAAGGCGCUAACCACUGCUCUGUCGUCGUCCGAUACUACUUGGUAUUUAGUGCCACCACAGAAAUAAGGAUGGAAAAUUAAUCAAGUACCUUAUAAUUUUGUCCAAUCAAAGUCAGUUACAUUUUACAUACAUCUUUUUCCCUAACUUUUGUAUUGUAUAUCACAUGAGGAAAUUUUGUAUGUUCAUUGUGCAGAUAAUGCGUAACAUAAAAACACCUUUAUCCCUUAGAGUGCUAUGAGCGCGUAUA